UACGUAGGAUGCAAGCGUUGUCCGGAAUUAUUGGGCGUAAAGAGCUCGUAGGCGGUCUGUCGCGUCGGCUGUGAAAACCUACAGCUUAACUGUGGGCUUGCAGUCGAUACGGGCAGACUUGAGUUCGGUAGGGGAGACUGGAAUUCCUGGUGUAGCGGUGAAAUGCGCAGAUAUCAGGAGGAACACCGGUGGCGAAGGCGGGUCUCUGGGCCGAUACUGACGCUGAGGAGCGAAAGCGUGGGGAGCGAACAGG
rnacentral:rRNA from 1 species